rnacentral:rRNA from 1 species
UGGGGAAUUUUGGACAAUGGGCGAAAGCCUGAUCCAGCAAUGCCGCGUGUGUGAAGAAGGCCUUCGGGUUGUAAAGCACUUUUGUCCGGAAAGAAAUCCUUGGCUCUAAUACAGUCGGGGGAUGACGGUACCGGAAGAAUAAGCACCGGCUAACUACGUGCCAGCAGCCGCGGUAAUACGUAGGGUGCAAGCGUUAAUCGGAAUUACUGGGCGUAAAGCGUGCGCAGGCGGUUUGCUAAGACCGAUGUGAAAUCCCCGGGCUCAACCUGGGAACUGCAUUGGUGACUGGCAGGCUAGAGUAUGACAGAGGGGGGUAGAAUUCCACGUGUAGCAGUGAAAUGCGUAGAGAUGUGGAGGAAUACCGAUGGCGAAGGCAGCCCCCUGGGCCAAUACUGACGCUCAUGCACGAAAGCGUGGGGAGCAAACAGGAUUAGAUACCCUGGUAGUCCACGCCCUAAAACGAUGUCAACUAGUUGUUGGGGACUUCAUUUCCUUAGUAACGUAGCUAACGCGUGAAGUUGACCGCCU